rnacentral:misc_RNA from 1 species
GAUGAAGAACGUAGCAAAAGGCGAUAAGUAAUGUGAAUUGCAGAAUUCAGUGAAUCAUCGAAUCUUUGAACGCACAUUGCGCCCGCUGGUAUUCCGGCGGGCAUGCCUGUUCGAGCGUCAUUUCAACCCUCAAGCCCCCGGGUUUGGUGUUGGGGAUCGGCUCUGCCCUCUGGGCGGUGCCGCCCCCGAAAUACAUUGGCGGUCUCGCUGCAGCCUCCAUUGCGUAGUAGCUAACACCUCGCAACUGGAACGCGGCGCGGCCAUGCCGUAAAACCCCAACUUCUGAAUGUUGACCUCGGAUCAGGUAGGAAUACCCGCUGAACUUAAGCAUAUCAAUAAGCGGAGGA